AUUGGGGCACUGUAUCAAUGUACUGUAAGUAAUGCUCCCUGAUAAUCCCCUGUUGGUUGGGGCUUGUGACUGGGCAGAAUGGAGGUCAGGACUGAGAGUUGAGUAUGAGCUCUUGAGAGAGAAGCCGGAGGUAAGAGUCACCAUCUGAGUUCAGGCUAGCCAGAGAUACAUAGACCCCUGUUUCAGACAGACAAACACCAAACACUCUCCACCUAGACUGGUGUGGCUCACUGUUGAGUAACAAAGCUGUUACUAGAAGCCAGGCCUUCUGACCUUUAACUGAGACUUGGUUUGCACACAGUGCGAUGCAGAUCACAGGGAGGACAGAACCA
rnacentral:lncRNA from 1 species